rnacentral:rRNA from 1 species
GAUGAACGCUGGCGGCGUGCCUAAUACAUGCAAGUCGAGCGAACAGACGAGGAGCUUGCUCCUCUGACGUUAGCGGCGGACGGGUGAGUAACACGUGGAUAACCUACCUAUAAGACUGGGAUAACUUCGGGAAACCGGAGCUAAUACCGGAUAACAUGUUGAACCGCAUGGUUCAACAGUGAAAGACGGUCUUGCUGUCGCUUAUAGAUGGAUCCGCGCCGCAUUAGCUAGUUGGUAAGGUAACGGCUUACCAAGGCAACGAUGCGUAGCCGACCUGAGAGGGUGAGCGGCCACACUGGAACUGAGACACGGUCCAGACUCCUACGGGAGGCAGCAGUAGGGAAUCUUCCGCAAUGGGCGAAAGCCUGACGGAGCAACGCCGCGUGAGUGAAGAAGGUCUUCGGAUCGUAAAACUCUGUUAUUAGGGAAGAACAAAUGUGUAAGUAACUAUGCACGUCUUGACGGUACCUAAUCAGAAAGCCACGGCUAACUACGUG